rnacentral:lncRNA from 1 species
CACCUAUCUGAGGCCGAUCAAUAAAACUAUAGGCAAAUAAACACAAGUUAGAGACCAUGACUAGUAAGCCAAGAUCCUGCAACUUGCCAUGCCAAAGGAAAAGAAGGAAAGGCCUUGUAUGGAUUCUAGGUUUUUUGCUUGACCAAGAAGCAACCUAUCUUGGACACAAAGCAAUUCACUUGAUCUUUGUUCAAGUUGAAUUU